AAUAGAUACCCAGGUAGUCCACGCCGUAAACGAUGAAUGCUAGGUGUUAGGGGUUUCGAUACCCUUGGUGCCGAAGUUAACACAUUAAGCAUUCCGCCUGGGGAGUACGGCCGCAAGGCUGAAACUCAAAGGAAUUGACGGGGACCCGCACAAGCAGUGGAGUAUGUGGUUUAAUUCGAAGCAACGCGAAGAACCUUACCAGGUCUUGACAUCCCCCCUGACCGGUACAGAGAUGUACCUUUCCUUCGGGACAGGGGAGACAGGUGGUGCAUGGUUGUCGUCAGCUCGUGUCGUGAGAUGUUGGGUUAAGUCCCGCAACGAGCGCAACCCUUGGCUUUAGUUGCCAGCAAGUAAGGCUGGGCACUCUAGAGUGACUGCCGGUGACAAACCGGAGGAAGGUGGGGAUGACGUCAAAUCAUCAUGCCCCUUAUGACCUGGGCUACACACGUACUACAAUGGCCGGUACAACGGGAAGCGAAGGAGCGAUCUGGAGCGAAUCCUUUAAAGCCGGUCUCAGUUCGGAUUGCAGGCUGCAACUCG
rnacentral:rRNA from 1 species